GAUUGAACGCUGGCGGCAUGCUUUACACAUGCAAGUCGAACGGCAGCGCGGGCUUCGGCCUGGCGGCGAGUGGCGAACGGGUGAGUAAUGCAUCGGAACGUGCCCAGUAGUGGGGGAUAGCCCGGCGAAAGCCGGAUUAAUACCGCAUACGACCUGAGGGUGAAAGCGGGGGACCGAAAGGCCUCGCGCUAUUGGAGCGGCCGAUGUCGGAUUAGCUAGUUGGUGGGGUAAAGGCUUACCAAGGCGACGAUCCGUAGCUGGUCUGAGAGGACGACCAGCCACACUGGGACUGAGACACGGCCCAGACUCCUACGGGAGGAAGCAGUGGGGAAUUUUGGACAAUGGGGGCAACCCUGAUCCAGCCAUGCCGCGUGCGGGAAGAAGGCCUUCGGGUUGUAAACCGCUUUUGUUCGGGAAGAAAUCCUCUGGGCUAAUACCCCGGGGGGAUGACGGUACCGGAAGAAUAAGCACCGGCUAACUACGUG
rnacentral:rRNA from 1 species